CCUACGGGAGGCAGCAGUUAGGAAUAUUGGACAAUGGGGGAAACCCUGAUCCAGCCAUGCCGCGUGUGUGACGAAGGCCUUAGGGUUGUAAAGCACUUUCAGCUGUGAAGAUAAUGACAGUAGCAGCAGAAGAAGCUCCGGCUAAAUUCGUGCCAGCAGCCGCGGUAAUACGAAUGGAGCGAGCGUUGUUCGGAAUCACUGGGCGUAAAGGGUGCGCAGGCGGUCAUGAAAGUUAGAAGUGAAAUCCCCAGGCUCAACCUGGGAAUUGCUUUUAAAACUCCAUGACUAGAGUACUGGAGAGGUUGGCGGAAUUCCAAGUGUAGCAGUGAAAUGCGUAGAUAUUUGGAGGAACACCAAUGGCGUAGGCAGCCAACUGGACAGUUACUGACGCUCAUGCACGAAAGCGUGGGGAUCAAACAGGAUUAGAUACCCUGGUAGUCCACGCCCUAAACGAUGUGUGCUAGUUGUCGGGACCUUUAGGUCUCGGUGACGCAGCUAACGCUUUAAGCACACCGCCUGGGGAGUACGGUCGCAAGAUUAAAACUCAAAUGAAUUGACGG
rnacentral:rRNA from 1 species